UCAGAGCGAACGCUGGCGGCGUACUUAACACAUGCAAGUCGAACGAGGAGCUUCGGUGUAGCAAUACAUCGGAGCUUCUAGUGGCGUACGGGUGAGUAACACGUGGGCAACCUGCCCUUGAGUCCGGGAUACCCUCUCGAAAGGGAGGCUAAUACUGGAUACGUUCUCCGGAUCGCGAGGUCUGGAGAGGAAAGGUGGCGAAAGCUGCCGCUCUUGGAGGGGCUCGCGGCCUAUCAGCUAGUUGGUGAGGUCACGGCUCACCAAGGCUAUGACGGGUAGCUGGUCUGAGAGGACGACCAGCCACACGGGAACUGAGACACGGUCCCGACUCCUACGGGAGGCAGCAGUGGGGAAUUUUCCGCAAUGGGCGAAAGCCUGACGGAGUGACGCCGCGUGGGGGAUGAAGGCCUUCGGGUUGUAAACCCCUGUCAGAGGGAAAGAAGGGUCGGCGCGUAAAUAGCGCGUCGAUCUGACGGUACCUUCAGAGGAAGCCCCGGCCAACUCUGUGCCAGCAGCCGCGGUAAGACAGAGGGGGCAAGCGUUGCUCGGAAUUACUGGGCGUAAAGGGCGCGUAGGCGGGAUGGCAAGUCGGUCGUGAAAUCCCUGGGCUCAACUCAGGGGGGUCGGCCGAUACUGCCAUUCUUGAGGGAUGCAGAGGAGACUGGAAUUCCCGGUGUAGCGGUGAAAUGUGUAGAGAUCGGGAGGAACACCGGUGGCGAAGGCGGGUCUCUGGGCAUUCCCUGACGCUGAGGCGCGAAAGCGUGGGGAGCAAACGGGAUUAGAUACCCCGGUAGUCCACGCGGUAAACGAUGACGACUAGGUGUGGGGGGGUUAAGUCC
rnacentral:rRNA from 1 species